rnacentral:rRNA from 1 species
AACGAACGCUGGCGGCAUGCCUAACACAUGCAAGUCGAACGAAGGCUUCGGCCUUAGUGGCGCACGGGUGCGUAACGAGUGGGAAUCUGCCCUUAGGUUCGGAAUAACAGUUAGAAAUGACUGCUAAUACCGGAUGAUGAAGUAAGUCAAAAGAUUUAUCGCCUGAGGAUGAGCCCGCGUAGGAUUAGCUAGUUGGUGUGGUAAAGGCGCACCAAGACGACGAUCCUUAGCUGGUCUGAGAGGAUGAUCAGCCACACUGGGACUGAGACACGGCCCAGACUCCUACGGGAGGCAGCAGUGGGGAAUAUUGGACAAUGGGCGCAAGCCUGAUCCAGCAAUGCCGCGUGAGUGAUGAAGGCCUUAGGGUUGUAAAGCUCUUUUACCCGUGAUGAUAAUGACAGUAGCGGGAGAAUAAGCCCCGGCUAACUCCGUG